CCUACGGGUGGCAGCAGUGAGGAAUAUUGGUCAAUGGACGCAAGCCUGAACCAGCCAAGUAGCGUGCAGGAUGACGGCCCUACGGGUUGUAAACUGCUUUUAUACGGGAAUAACGCGCCUUACGUGUAGGUCUUUGCAUGUACCCUAUGAAUAAGGACCGGCUAAUUCCGUGCCAGCAGCCGCGGUAAUACGGAAGGUCCGGGAGUUAUCCGGAUUUAUUGGGUUUAAAGGGAGCGUAGGCCGCAUGUCAAGCGUGCUGUGAAAUGUCCGGGCUCAACCCGGGACUUGCAGCGCGAACUGGCGGGCUGGAGUGCGCGGAAGGAAGGCGGAAUUCGUGGUGUAGCGGUGAAAUGCUUAGAUAUGACGAAGAACCCCGAUUGCGAAGGCAGCUUGCUGCAGCGGAACUGACGCUGAUGCUCGAAAGCGCGGGUAUCGAACAGGAUUAGAUACCCGGGUAGUC
rnacentral:rRNA from 1 species